rnacentral:rRNA from 1 species
UGAAGUUUCUUCGGAAAUGGAUUAGCGGCGAACGGGUGAGGAACACGUGAAGAAUCUGCCCUCCACUUUGGGAUAACACCGGGAAACCGGUGCUAAUACCGAAUAUUGAAACAUAAGUGGCAUCACUGAGUUUUGAAAGAAUUUCGGUGGAGGAUGACUUCGCGGCCUAUCAGCUAGUUGGUGAGGUAAUGGCUCACCAAGGCAACGACGGGUAGCCGGCCUGAGAGGGCGACCGGCCACACUGGGACUGAGACACGGCCCAGACUCCUACGGGAGGCAGCAGUGGGGAAUAUUGGGCAAUGGAGGAAACUCUGACCCAGCGACGCCGCGUGCGGGAUGAAGGCCUUCGGGUUGUAAACCGCUUUCAGUAGGGAAGAAGCGAAAGUGACGGUACCUACAAAAGAAGCACCGGCUAACUAUGUGCCAGCAGCCGCGGUAAUACAUAGGGUGCAAGCGUUGUCCGGAAUUAUUGGGCGUAAAGAGCUCGUAGGUCGUUUGUUACGUCGGAUGUGAAAUCCUGAGGCUCAACCUCAGGCCUGCAUUCGAUACGGGCAAACUAGAGUUUGGUAGGGGAGACUGGAAUUCCUGGUGUAGCGGUGGAAUGCGCAGAUAUCAGGAGGAACACCAAUGGCGAAGGCAGGUCUCUGGGCCAAUACUGACACUGAGGAGCGAAAGUCUGGGGAGCGAACAGGAUUAGAUACCCUGGUAGUCCAGACCGUAAACGGUGGGCACUAGUUGUGGGAACCUUCCACGGUUUCUGCGACGCAGCUAACGCAUUAAGUGCCCCGCCUGGGGAGUACGAUCGCAAGAUUAAAACUCAAAGGAAUUGACGGGGCCCCGCACAAGCAGCGGAGCAUGCGGCUUAAUUCGACGCAACGCGAAGAACCUUACCAAGGCUUGACAUAUAGGGAAAAGUGGCCAGAGAUGUCAUGUCCGCAA